rnacentral:rRNA from 1 species
AUGAAUUGUCUAAGCUGGAACUACCGGGGGCUUGGGAACCCUGAGGUAGUUCACGAGCUUCGCAAUAUGGUGAAGCAAGAACUACCCGACCUUCUUUUCGUCAUGGAAACAAAUAUUAGGGGAUAGAGAGUAGAAAAUAUGCAGACUACUUUGGGUUUUGUCGGAUGUUUUGCAGUUGACAGUGAUGGCUUGAGUGCUGGUCUUGGGCUGUUUUGGUCACAAGAGGUUUCAGUGGAGCUGAAGAGUUUUAGUCUCUGCCAUAUUGAUGUAAUGGUGCAAGCGGUGGAUAAUUCUUUCAAUGAAUGGAGAUUUACAGGCUUUUACGGUGUUCCAAGAGUUGAGGAUCGACAUCACAGUUGGAGAUUUCUCUGUACAUUGCAUGCAGUACCUCAUAAAGCAUGUCUAUGUAUUGGUGAUUUUAAUUAG